CCUACGGGAGGCAGCAGUGAGGAAUAUUGGUCAAUGGGCGCGAGCCUGAACCAGCCAAGUAGCGUGAAGGAUGACUGCCCUACGGGUUGUAAACUUCUUUUAUAAAGGAAUACAGUGAGGCACGUGUCCUAUUUUGUAUGUACCUUAUGAAUAAGGAUCGGCUAACUCCGUGCCAGCAGCCGCGGUAAUACGGAGGAUCCGAGCGUUAUCCGGAUUUAUUGGGUUUAAAGGGUGCGUAGGCGGCCUUUUAAGUCAGCGGUGAAAGUCUGUGGCUCAACCAUAGAAGUGCCGUUGAAACUGGGGGGCUUGAGUAUGUAUGAGGAAGGCGGAAUGCGGGGUGUAGCGGUGAAAUGCUCAGAGAUCACGCAGAACCCCGAUUGCGAAGGCAGCCUGCCAAGCCAUGACUGACGCUGAUGCACGAAAGCGUGGGGAUCAAACAGGAUUAGAUACCCCUGUAGUC
rnacentral:rRNA from 1 species